ensembl:lncRNA
CAUUUAAUCAUCAGAUCAAAAGAUUUUUAAGAUCAUGAGAAACAUUUCAGUCAAGUGUCUCCAAACUUUUGACCGGUAGUGUGUCUAAACUGCACCUAUAUUCGUUGCUUGUCCAAUGCAUUGUGGGAAUAUGGUGUGAACUGAGAGGCAAGGGAGUGUGAGAGCGUCUCACUUACUAAGUUAAAGAAGGCACAAGGGGCAGGACCACCUAACACGUGUGCCCAACCCCCAUUUCCAUCCUCUAAACACACACACUCUUCCUCACACACUCUCUUUCUCUUUGACUUUUUUUCCAGUGUCUCUCAGAGCUGUGUGUGUGCUGCUCCUGCUCCCUCUCUCUCUCUCUUUCUCUCUCUCUCUAUUCAUCUCCACUGUGUGUGAGAUAACGUCUGCCUCUGAGACCAGUCUCAGGAGUUCCAAGAGCAUUCAGUGAGUUUCAUUCAGAAAUCUGAAGACAUCAUGAAGUUUGAACUGCUGCUGCUGAUUGCCCUAGUUGGGUCUUUUUGUACCAUCACACAUGCAAGUACUAUUGUGGUACCCACAGACGUGGUGCUGGCACAAGUGACAGGGGCCUUUGGGCCCACUGAGGCUGCAGAGACAUUAAAGGAGGUGGAGGAACCUGUCACUGAAGCACCAGCACCAGCUGCUACUGAAGCUGCUGUGGUGGAAGCAGAGACACCAUCUGCUCAUACUAAAGUUCCUGUAGUGGAAGCAGAGACACCAUCAGCUCAUACUAAAGUUCCUGUGGUGGAAGCAGAGACACCAUCAGUUCAUACUGAAGUUCCUGUGAAGGAAACAGAGGCACCAUCAGUUCAUACUACAGCUCAGACGGCGCAAGCAGAAACAACAGAAGGAGUUACGGAAGCUCCUGCCAAAAACACCGAAACAACUGUGGAGGCAGAGGAUGCUGCAGCUACAGAAGCUACACCUGAAGUUAUUGAGGUAGCAGAUGAAACUGAAGCUCCAAAAACAGGGCUGUCAAUCACAGAGACAGUAUUAAACGCAGAGGCAGACCAAGUGAUCGAAACAGAGGGGGAUGAGGUGGAAGUGGAGGACUCAGAGGGUAUGAGCACGGGUCAAGUGGUGGGCAUUGUGUUUGGUGCACUGGUCGCUGUGGUCAUCAUCAUUGCAGUGAUAGUCGUGGUGGUCAGGAGGAUGGGACAAUACUCGACUGGAAAGAAACAAAAGCCUCAAAAACAACAUGGCCUCUCAUUCUCUCCCCUGAAAAGGAAGGUGGCAAGACAGGAAGAAAAGAAGAAAAAGAAGAGGUUCUGGAAAUUCUGAACUACUGAACUGAUGUCAUUUCCUGUCAUUAAAUAAGCAAGCCAGGAGCACUCUAAUCAUCCAGGACAAUUAGGGCAGCAUCCUGCCUUACCCUAUCCCUAGAACCAUUGAUUUGGACACUUCCCCCAUCACCCUAACACCCCCCCCCCCCCCCCCCCCCCAAACAAACAAACAAAAAACCCUGCCCAUAACCCCCACCACUGCCAAAGAUUCAGACAGGAAGUAAAGGAGGAGGAAGAAUUUGAAUGUGUCACAUAUACUUACAACACAUCUGGGUUGUUAUGUGGACCUAAUGAGCAAACACAUUAACAGCCAGUUAAAAAAAAACAAACUAAAAUAUCUUUUAAAAUAACGGGGAGAUAUGAGGUAAAGUACAGAAACGCGAAAUAGUACAUAUGUAAAUAACACCAAAAAUGGCCAUAACUCACCAGCCUUUAACUUUCUCUCUUUUUUUUAUUGCAUUCUAUGUAUCGAAAGCAUGCUUGAACACACACCAGCAGUAGUUGAGUCUAUAUCCACAUUCAAUUCCAUGUAGCAUGACAAACAUUAAUGUGCUGCAGUAGUAUGACACAUAAAAAGCAUUUUAUAACCAGAUUAUAGGCAUUUUAUAAAGAGAUUGUAACAUGUUGUAUACAUUCCCAAGCAGAUCAGAUGUCAGGACAAAUUGGGCCUGCAUAAUAUCUUUCAUAUUUUGGUUUAACUAGUAGCUUUAAUCCUGACAUAUAAAACUUUGACAGGACAUUAAUGGAAUGGCUAAUGGCUCGGGUAAUUUCUAUGUUCAACUCUUGCAGUUCAUUAAUGUGAAUUCAAAUUGACGUGGUUGUUUUUAACAGCCUCCCUUUUCAGCAGUAAUUAAAUCAUAUUUACUUUGCUCCACAGCAUAACGCCAGUGUGAAUACUGCUUAAAGUUUUUCAACCAGGGUCAUUUUUGGAAAUUCUGUUCAAUCUGGAAAACAUUUAAGAAGCUUAGAGACACUCGGUCUCAUCAUCCUUUUACAUCAUGUGGUCUGGCUACCAGACUUGUGCUUUAACCUCAGGUUCACUGGACAAGAAGUGACUCUUUUUGCUGCGUAAUUAAGGGGUGUGUGUUAUGCUGUGCUUGCUUUAAUAUGUGCACUGACUGACAAAAAAUGUUUAAUGUAAAAUGGUUUGAGACACUGCAACAGUUUGCAACGAUGCCUUUUUUUUAUGCUUACUCUAUACGCCAGGUCCUCACUUUACUGUCUGCUGUCUAAGUCAUUUUAUUUAAUUGCAGUGUUUUUUUCUUUUUCUUUUUGGAUGUUCAUACUGUUUCGAUUAAAAAGUGAAAAUUGAUAUCUCAAUGUGUUUUGUGCCUCAGUAAGCUUUCUGACAUGCGUGAGAUCGAGCAUCUCUGUAAUGAUGUUUUUGUGAAAGUUGUCAGGUAACAGUGUACAUGCCAGUGUACAAUCAAUAACACGCUACAAUUAUUACCGUUAUUAUGCUAAUCCUCACUGGUAACACGUCAUAACCAGCUCAUUCAUUUCGCUGUCCCACUCUCUCUGUACCUACGUGGUACCUACCUAGAUUUGGUCAGUUAAGUAAUGUGAGGCACAUAACACUGGCACUUGUGUGUGCGCGUUUCCAUGUGGUUUUAGGCAGCAGCCCAGUUCGCCUCUCUCUGGAUUGAACAAUGGGGCUCUUAUAGCACGGAGUCCCAGUCAGACCCUCAGCUACAGUAUAUAGGUGCCACGAAAAAUUUCUGCAUGUUUCAGAUGGGUGGGGCACUUCCUGAAUGUGCACUCUAGCACCCAUGAUGGCAGGAGAUAGGAAAACAAGGACCAACUUAUGCACAUUUAUUAGAGAUCAUAUUGUAAGAUAUAAGGUAUAGUAUAAUAUAUGGAGUGUGAGGUACACAUAUGUAUCAGUUACACAUCCAUGCUGAUCAAUUUGUGUAUAUUUGUGUAUGUGUGUGUGUGUAUAUAUAUAUAUAUAUAUAUAUAUAUAUAUAUAUAUAUAUAUAUAUAUACAUACACACACACACACACACAUGUAUUUUAAGUUCUCCCACAUGCUCAUAAAUUCUCUCUCUCCCACAUGCGCACACACAUAAUACUUACUGAUAAACUUGAUACCAGCUCCCUCCUGUGUACUUCAUAUAUGUUAAUCUUUGAGUGCAGAGUAGGCGGUAUUUUGGUCAGGCUCAUGUGUACUUCAGAGUCCAACACAAUGAAUGCCUGAAAACUAGCUACCCCCCCCCCCCCCUU